UGGACUUUGAAGAUAAUAUGUUGAGUGAAAUAAGCCAGACAAAGAAGGAUGAGUACCAGGUGAUUUUAUUCAUAUGUACAAAUUAAGAAAUAAGGACAGUAGAGGAAAUCAUAAGGUGAUACUUGGACUGAGUAUGGUGUAUUGAACCACAGUAAAUGAACAUGACAAGCUAAAACAUUCUGGCAUGAAAUUUCAAGCAAGAAAACAAAACAGCUAUUAAAAACUUUAUUGGGACAACUAACCAAAAUGUACUAUAGUGUAGGUAAAAAUAAUGGAAUGAAACUAGAGUCUUAUUUUA